rnacentral:rRNA from 1 species
CAGUAGCCACGGUAAUACGGAGGGUGCAAGCGUUAAUCGGAAUUACUGGGCGUAAAGCGCACGCAGGCGGUCUGUCAAGUCGGAUGUGAAAUCCCCGGGCUCAACCUGGGAACUGCAUCCGAAACUGGCAGGCUAGAGUCUUGUAGAGGGGGGUAGAAUUCCAGGUGUAGCGGUGAAAUGCGUAGAGAUCUGGAGGAAUACCGGUGGCGAAGGCGGCCCCCUGGACAAAGACUGACGCUCAUGCACGAAAGCGUGGGGAGCAAACAGGAUUAGAUACCCGCGUAGUCCCUGUCUCUUAUAC